rnacentral:rRNA from 1 species
GCUCAGGACGAACGCUGGCGGCGUGCUUAACACAUGCAAGUCGAGCGGAAAGGCCCUUCGGGGUACUCGAGCGGCGAACGGGUGAGUAACACGUGAGCAACCUGCCCUAGGCUUUGGGAUAACCCUCGGAAACGGGGGCUAAUACCGAAUAUUCACUCAUGGGCGCAUGUUUGUGGGUGGAAAGUUUUUCGGCUUGGGAUGGGCUCGCGGCCUAUCAGCUUGUUGGUGGGGUAAUGGCCUACCAAGGCGACGACGGGUAGCCGGCCUGAGAGGGCGACCGGCCACACUGGGACUGAGACACGGCCCAGACUCCUACGGGAGGCAGCAGUGGGGAAUAUUGCACAAUGGGCGGAAGCCUGAUGCAGCGACGCCGCGUGAGGGAUGACGGCCUUCGGGUUGUAAACCUCUUUCAGCAGGGACGAAGCGCAAGUGACGGUACCUGCAGAAGAAGCGCCGGCCAACUACGUGCCAGCAGCCGCGGUAAGACGUAGGGCGCGAGCGUUGUCCGGAUUUAUUGGGCGUAAAGAGCUCGUAGGCGGCUUGUCGCGUCGACUGUGAAAACCCGUGGCUCAACUGCGGGCCUGCAGUCGAUACGGGCAGGCUAGAGUUCGGUAGGGGAGACUGGAAUUCCUGGUGUAGCGGUGAAAUGCGCAGAUAUCAGGAGGAACACCGGUGGCGAAGGCG